CCUACGGGAGGCAGCAGUGAGGACUAUUGGUCAAUGGGCGUAAGCCUGAACCAGCCAAGUCGUGUGAGGGAUGAAGGUUCUAUGGUUCGUAAACCUCUUUUAUAAGGGAAUAAAGUGUGGGACGUGUCCUAUUUUGUAUGUACCUUAUGAAUAAGGAUCGGCUAACUCCGUGCCAGCAGCCGCGGUAAUACGGAGGAUCCGAGCGUUAUCCGGAUUUAUUGGGUUUAUUGGGUGCGUAGGCGGCCUUUUAAGUCAGCGGUGAAAGUCGGUGGCUCAACCAUCGAAUUGCCGUUGAAACUGGGGGACUUGAGUAUGUUUGAGGCAGGGGGAAUGCGGGGGGUAGCGGUGAAACGCGUAGAUAUCACGCAGAACCCC
rnacentral:rRNA from 1 species